CAGCCGCCGCGGGAAUACGGAGGGGGCUAGCGUUGUUCGGAAUUACUGGGCGUAAAGCGCACGUAGGCGGCUUGGUAAGUUAGAGGUGAAAGCCCAGGGCUCAACCCUGGAAUUGCCUUUAAGACUGCCGAGCUAGUAGGUGAGAGAGGUGAGUGGAAUUCCGAGUGUAGAGGUGAAAUUUGUAGAUAUUCGGAAGAACACCAGUGGCGAAGGCGGCUCACUGGCUCAUUCUAGACGCUGAGGUGCGAAAGCGUGGGGAGCAAACAGGAUUAGAUACCCGCGUAGUCCCUGUCUCUUAUAC
rnacentral:rRNA from 1 species